rnacentral:lncRNA from 1 species
AGUUUCUCCAUGGCACUCAGCAUGCCAGAGGGACUGCAGGAGAUGGUGACUUGAGUGGCAUCCUUGUGCUACUCAAUGGAAAAAGAAGAGAGUGAUUCUAUGAUUUAGUCUGCCACCUCCUUUUACUGAGAUAGCCUGCUCUGCCCUCCUGCUCCAUCCAAAUUCUCAAGGCUGUUCUGAGUUCUGAACACAUACUACGGUGUGUUUCUUAAGACAAAAAAGAAAAGAACUUCGGUGAUUAAUGCAAAGGAAGGACAGCAACACAUAUAACCCGAAGAACAGCUGACUAAGAAGAUUCUGCCACAGGAUCAUUUACAAGUGCAAGUAUCAAUGAGGAGCCAAAGAGAACAUUCAACUGACUAAACCAGAUAAUGGGAAUUACGUCUCCCACCACAGAAAUUAGAAGCAAGCAGCAGAAAUAUUCUGUGUUGAAAGGUAUGUCUGAUGGAGGUAAUCAGAAAGUAUAUCUCAGAGUGACGUUUCUUAAAAUCAGACAAACUGAAACAAGUUGCUCUCUCCCUGCAUGUUACGCUAGCAGCUACC